CCCAGGCAUACAGAUUCUCUCUCCUCACCACGCGGCUGCUGCUGGAGGAUGGAGGAGGGGUGGUGUCAGCAAUUCAAGACUGUCUUUCCUACCCUCUUCAGUGCCCUUCCUUGAUAAGCUGUUUAAACCAGAACCGACUGUUUCUGGAAAAGGUAAACAUCUAUUCUCCAAAGGGCAGUGACUUUCUACCUGUGAAAAUAAAAAGUAAACUUCAGAAGAAAAUUCUGAAAGAGGAAUUUAGAGAUGUUCCAAAUAAAGGCAAUAUAGUUUCACUGGAACUGAAAUGUUGCCUUCCAAUUCUACUACAGAAGGCAGAGUGGCACAUGUGGCACCUGGUCAGGAUGGACUCACUAAAGGAUUUAACCCAGACUUCUGAUCAACAAAUAUUGCUGCUACAUUAACUGAUUCGCAACAAAGAAAGAAAAUAUCAUCCAGUUGAUUUUAUUAUUUAAAUAUGGGCUCAAAUCUUAAAUCUGAC
rnacentral:lncRNA from 10 species